GAGUUGAUCCUGGCUCAGAAUCAACGCUGGCGGCGUGCCUAACACAUGCAAGUCGUACGCGAAAGGGGCUUCGGCCCUGAGUAGAGUGGCAAACGGGUGAGUAACACGUGGGUGACCUGCCUUCGAGUGGGGGAUAACGUCCCGAAAGGGACGCUAAUACCGCAUGACAUCCUGCCUUUGGACAGGUGGAGAUCGAAGCUGGGGAUCGCAAGACUUAGCGCUUGAAGAGGGGCCCGCGUCUGAUUAGCUAGUUGGUAGGGUAAUGGCCUACCAAGGCGACGAUCAGUAUCCGGCCUGAGAGGGCGGACGGACACACUGGGACUGAGACACGGCCCAGACUCCUACGGGAGGCAGCAGUGGGGAAUUGUUCGCAAUGGGCGCAAGCCUGACGACGCAACGCCGCGUGGAGGAUGAAGAUCUUCGGGUCGUAAACUCCUGUCGAGCGGGAAGAACACUUACUGGCCUAACACGUCGGUGAGC
rnacentral:rRNA from 1 species